rnacentral:rRNA from 1 species
UGGGGAAUUUUGGACAAUGGGCGAAAGCCUGAUCCAGCAAUGCCGCGUGUGCGAAGAAGGCCUUCGGGUUGUAAAGCACUUUUGUCCGGAAAGAAAUCCGCCUGGCCAAUACCCGGGCGGGAUGACGGUACCGGAAGAAUAAGCACCGGCUAACUACGUGCCAGCAGCCGCGGUAAUACGGAGGGUGCAAGCGUUAAUCGGAAUCACUGGGCGUAAAGCGCGCGUAGGCCGUCUUUUAAGUCGGACGUGAAAGCCCUCGGCUCAACCGGGGAACUGCGUUCGAUACUGGGAGACUUGAGUCCUGGAGAGUGUGGCGGAAUUCCGGGUGUAGGAGUGAAAUCCGUAGAUAUCCGGAGGAACACCGGUGGCGAAGGCGGCCACCUGGACAGGUACUGACGCUGAGGCGCGAAAGCGUGGGGAGCAAACA